rnacentral:tRNA from 4 species
GGCGUUGUACCCAAGCGGUCUAAGGGGAAGGUCUGCAAAACCUUUAUUCGUCGGUUCGAAUCCGACCGACGCCUCAA